rnacentral:rRNA from 1 species
CAGCAGCCACGGUAAUACGGAGGGUGCAAGCGUUAGUCGGAAUUACUGGGCGUAAAGCGCACACAGGCGGUUUGUUAAGUCAGAUGUGAAAUCCCCGAGCUUAACUUGGGAACUGCAUUUGAAACUGGCAAGCUAGAGUCUUGUAGAGGGGGGUAGAAUUCCAGGUGUAGCGGUGAAAUGCGUAGAGAUCUGGAGGAAUACCGGUGGCGAAGGCGGCCCCCUGGACAAAGACUGACGCUCAGGUGCGAAAGCGUGGGGAGCAAACAGGAUUAGAUACCCCGGUAGUCCCUGUCUCUUAUAC